rnacentral:rRNA from 1 species
UACGUAGGGUGCGAGCGUUGUCCGGAAUUAUUGGGCGUAAAGAGCUCGUAGGCGGUGUGUCACGUCGUUCGUGAAAACCUGCAGCUUAACUGUGGGCGUGCGGUCGAUACGGGCAUCACUGGAGUUCGGCAGGGGAGACUGGAAUUCAUGGUGUAGCAGUGAAAUGCGUAGAGAUCAUGAGGAAGACCAGUGGCGAAGGCGGGUCUCUGGACAGUUCCUGACACUGAGACACGAAGGCCAGGGGAGCAAACGGG